rnacentral:misc_RNA from 1 species
GAUUAAGAACGCAGCGAAAUGCGAUAAGUAAUGUGAAUUGCAGAAUUCAGUGAAUCAUCGAAUCUUUGAACGCACAUUGCGCCCGCCGGUAUUCCGGCGGGCAUGCCUGUUCGAGCGUCAUUUCAACCAUCAAGCCCUGGGCUUGUGUUGGGGACCUGCGGCUGCCGCAGGCCCUGAAAUGCAGUGGCGGGCUCGCAAGACACACCGAGCGUAGUAGCUUACAACCUCGCUUUGGGAGUGCUGCGGGUGCUGGCCGUAAAGCGACCUUUGCGUCUUUAGCACUAGGUUGACCUCGGAUCAGGUAGGAGGACCCGCUGAACUUAAGCAUAUCAAUAAGCGGAGGA